rnacentral:rRNA from 1 species
GUAGGGAAUCUUCCACAAUGGACGAAAGUCUGAUGGAGCAACGCCGCGUGAGUGAAGAAGGGUUUCGGCUCGUAAAACUCUGUUGUUAAAGAAGAACAUAUCUGAGAGUAACUGUUCAGGUAUUGACGGUAUUUAACCAGAAAGCCACGGCUAACUACGUGCCAGCAGCCGCGGUAAUACGUAGGUGGCAAGCGUUGUCCGGAUUUAUUGGGCGUAAAGCGAGCGCAGGCGGUUUUUUAAGUCUGAUGUGAAAGCCUUCGGCGCAACCGAAGAAGUGCAUCGGAAACUGGGAAACUUGAGUGCAGAAGAGGACAGUGGAACUCCAUGUGUAGCGGUGAAAUGCGUAGAUAUAUGGAAGAACACCAGUGGCGAAGGCGGCUGUCUGGUCUGUAACUGACGCUGAGGCUCGAAAGUAUGGGUAGCAAACAGGAUUAGAAACCCGUGUAGUCC